UCCAGGAGACACCGCCGCUCUUCAGCGCCUCACACUCCGCCGAACUAUGAGUGGUCAGCGAUGCAUGACGUCACCAUCGGAGUUUUUUUUAUGCGUCCGCACAGUCAAACAGUUGAAAUUAGACCAAAUGAACAGAAUGUCCAGCAGCAGCCUGAUCAUCAGAGGGAUUUAUUAAGCAGCUGUUGUCUCCACAGCCUGGCCCGGUUGCAGCCCGGGUCGGGUCCGGCUCACGGGGAAUUGUGGACACACAUUGGUCCCCUGGGGCUGCGCGUUCUGCUUCACUCGCUUGCACCGCGGCCGCUUCUUCUGCCUCCACAUUGUCUCCACGUCAACGCUUCGGGAGCCCAACGUGAUGGAGAGCCCGGUGCCGGCUCGCCUUUGUCCCAGGUCAAUGGGACUGGAAAUUGGGCAACAGAGGAGAGUGUCCAGAUGUCUGUUGCGAGGCCAGAUACAAAAAGGGGCCAACAAUGGUGUCGAGCUUUGCUUUAAAGUGUGCAGCCCAUUAGGGGCCACAAAGGCUAAACAGGCGUAAAAUAGAGGCAUCUCGACGGAAGAGUGGCUGCAGAGGUGGACGUCAGAUGAAUGGUGGUCGUAUUUCUAAAUAAAAACCUCAAUAAAAACCUCAAAGACUUCUGAAAUUGGAAA